rnacentral:rRNA from 1 species
CCUACGGGGGGCUGCAGUAACGAAUCUUCCGCAAUGGGCGCAAGCCUGACGGAGCAAUGCCGCGUGUGGGAUGAAGCGGCUACGCCGUGUAAACCACUGUCAGGGGCUAGAACCAAUGAUCAGCCCCAAAGGAAGAGCCGGCUAACCCUGUGCCAGCAGCCGCGGUAAUACAGGGGGCUCGAGCGUUAAUCGGAAUCACUGGGCUUAAAGGGUGCGUAGGUGGCUUGCCAAGCGUCCUGUGAAAUCCCACGGCUCAACCGUGGAACCGCAGGGCG